UAUAUAUAUAUAUAUGAAAAUACUUCCGAACGCCUGUAGGCAAGAAAGCCCAUUGCUUUCACCUCCCCCAUAUCCAUCGUUCGUUUAUGGAUAGGCAAACAGACGGCCCAUAUCCAUCGUCCGUUUAUGUUAAGGCAAACAGUUGGCCUGAUCCACUUUAAAAGCACCACGCGCGAAAAGGAAAAGCUUCAAACCGACCGGAAUAUCAGGGCUACGCUCUCCUCCCACGUGCUCUGUGAAUCAGAUAUUUCCUCUACGAAGCUCCUUCUCUCUCGCUCGCCUUCGGCUCUCCUGGCGGCUACAGACCCUCUGCUUCCUCUCUCAAUAAUUUGGUUUGUGUCAUUUGUGCGAAGGUUUGGUUUGUUGUUGGAGAGAUUGGGAGCCAUGUGGAGGAGGCGAGUAAACCCUAAUGCAAGGAGAUUUGCAGAUAGCUCUUCGUUGUCAGUUGCUACUUCUCUGCACCAAAUAUCUCGGUCAUCUCCAUUGCUAUCAAUUCGUCUUAUACUCGUGACUCUUUGCUUAAAGUCUGGUAGUUAGUCUUGAAUGCGUCGGGACAGAAACUAGCGCAUACAAUUCGUGUUUACUUUUGCUCAAGAUUCAAGUUGGCUGAACAAUCACAAACGAAUGAUAGUGUGUACAAGCCAUUACUGUAACUUAUGCCAAAGACAUGGUUCAAUAUGUGGCGGACAUGAUCUGAAUUUUGUAAGACUGUGUUUGCUUACUUAUGUUAUGACUGGUUCAAUAAUCAUGUUUUUAUUGAUGCUGAUUUCUUAGCCACGGAUGCAGUAUGUAUUUAUUUCAAUCUUCAGUGCAUCCCAUCUCUUUAUUUUGGCACUUUUAUUUCAAGGGUUUCAAAUCUAAGGAGACUGAUAUUAGUAAUGCACCUAAUGUUUUUAUUGAACACUGUGCGCUGAUAUUAGAGGCAGUGAAUACUGGUUACAUAUUUAUCAUUAAUUUGAUGGCACAACCUUUUUGGUCCUUUAUAGUUCUUCAUUGGAUCAUCUGAUUUUUGGUCUUCUAUUUUCCUUUACAAUCAUUGAGAUGUUCUUCAAGUUUUUAAUGGUGCAUUUUAAUGAUGUGUGGAUUCUCUUGUUGCUUGAAAACUUGCACGUCUACUUGUGUUAUUGGCCGAUGAUUUCUCUUAGUAUUCUUGGGUUUUUAUAAAGCAUAUCUGAAGACAGUGACAUGUAUUUGUUUCCCUAAUACGAUUAUUCAAACCAAGUUUGAGAAAUCUAUUAACGUGCUGCUGAUUACAGUGGGGAACAUACAUCUUAUAAUGUAUCAGGGAAUACUCCCCAGCAGGCUGGUAUGGUUGAAUGUAAAAAUAGUGGUGUUGUGCAUUUUCAUGGUGUAAAAAACAGCAUCACAACCAUUGACAUGCGCUGCUCUAAAUUUUCAUAGGAGGCUAGAUUAUACCAAUUACACUUUAGUCAUGUUAUGAUUUUGUUACAGAUUAUAUUAAUUACACUUUAGUCAUGCUUUGAAUUUCUUUAGUGUUCAUUGUUGUGUUCUUUUUUCCAAUUAACAUUCGGCU